AAAAGCAACAGGUGUAACCAAUGAUGGGUUUGAUCCAUUUAGACUGCCAGGAAGCUACAUCAGCAAGCCAACGCACACAAUGCCAGAGCCUGUCACGGAAAUGGAAAACAGCUGCCAUCAGUGUUACGUCUUGGUUACACCAGCAUUUGUUUGUCUCAGGAUAAAUGUCCACACACACACACCUGAAAUGACAAAAAAUAAAGAUAUUCUAAUAUAUUAAUAUAUUUUCACAAUCCUGUUUUGGGAACUGCCAAGAUGGCAAAAGAUGUGGCUGCGUCUUUGAUAAUAAGACACCACAAACACACAACACACAGGACCACAGUGCUGCAUGUGGUCUGUGGGCUGGUGAUGAUUUAAGGGUGUAAUACCACUCCCGUCCUGCAGGUGUCGCUGCAGGCGGAUACAAUGUAAACAUUACGGAGCGGCGGCUAAGUGACAGCGGCUAACGUCGGUGGAAAUCCUGGAUGUUGUCUUUCAAAGAGCCCAUGGGGACCAUUAAAUAGUUUCCUGCUGUGUUGUGUUAAUACAUAUUGCUAUUAACUUUUAGAUUAUAGCCAUCAAAAAGCAGUAUUAGUAUCACUGCGCUUCUGUUCAGGGACCGAGCUAACUAGCUAGCUAGCUUAGCUUCAGCGGAGGGAUGAACUCUCUGGUCGGCUACGGAGUGUCGUCGGAGUCUGACAGCGAUGGAGAUGCCGAGGAUGUAAACAACGGUGGAGUUAGUUCUGUGAAGGAGCUGAGUGAUGAGACUCCAGGUGACAAAAGGACCCGCAACUUCUUGCUGGAGACUGGUUCAGCUUCCAGUGAGUCAGAACCAGAGGAAGAUGACCCAGAGCCCUCCUCAUCACCACCACCACCACAUCCCCACAUACCAGCAUCCUCUGCAGCCCGCCAGUCCACCCUGCCUCCUCCUUCCCUGGGCUCCCUCAACCCCAACAAACUACCUCCUCCUUCUCUGAACACCUGCUCUGACAGCAGUGUGUUUGCCAACCCCUUCAAGGCUCAGGCAGACCAGAAGCUCAGCGCCUUGCAGAAACACGUCCCCCUCACACUGCAGGCCCAACCCUCCCAGAUAGGGGGUAAAAGGAUGUGUGUGUCGUACAGGAAGGAUGGAAGGUGCAGGUUUGGGAUCAAGUGCAAGUUUGCUCAUGACAGUGACCUCCAGACCCCUGUGACCCCCACUGACUGUCAUCCAGCUGUGAGCGAAGACCUGUCAGAUCCAGAUGAGUCCCAUGCAGGUGGCUCAUGUGUCGGAGGACAGGAGACGAAAGAGGAAGAGUCAGGAGGGCAGCAAGCGAAGAAGAGGAGGGUCGGACUGAGUAACACCUUAAUACCCCCUAAACGAGCUAUGAAGCAGUUUUCCAUGCAGAGGGACAGAGAGCGGGUCAAUAUGUCCUGA
rnacentral:lncRNA from 1 species